AGCGUUGUUCGGAAUUACUGGGCGUAAAGCGUGCGCAGGCGGUUUCUCAAGUCAGGGGUGAAAGCCCGGAGCUCAACUCCGGAACUGCCCUUGAAACUGUGGAGCUAGAGUACGGUAGAGGUGAGUGGAAUUCCCAGUGUAG
rnacentral:rRNA from 1 species